CUGGGCAUAAAGCGAGCGUAGGUGGCUUGAUAAGUCAGAUGUGAAAGCCCCGGGCUUAACCUGGGAACGGCAUCUGAUACUGUUAGGCUAGAGUAGGUGAGAGGAAGGUAGAAUUCCAGGUGUAGCGGUGAAAUGCGUAGAGAUCUGGAGGAAUACCGAUGGCGAAGGCAGCCUUCUGGCAUCAUACUGACACUGAGGUUCGAAAGCGUGGGUAGCAAACAGGAUUAGAUACCCUGGUAGUCCACGCUGUAAACGAUAUCUACUAGUCGUUGGGUCCCUUGAGGACUUAGUGACGCAGCUAACGCAAUAAGUAGACCGCCUGGGGAGUACGGUCGCAAGGUUAAAACUCAAAUGAAUUGACGGGGGCCCGCACAAGCGGUGGAGCAUGUGGUUUAAUUCGAUGCAACGCGAAGAACCUUACCUGGUCUUGACAUAUCUAGAAUCCUGCAGAGAUGCGGGAGUGCCUUCGGGAAUUAGAAUACAGGUGCUGCAUGGCUGUCGUCAGCUCGUGUCGUGAGAUGUUGGGUUAAGUCCCGCAACGAGCGCAACCCUUGUCCUUAGUUACCAGCGGUUUGGCCGGGAACUCUAAGGAUACUGCCAGUGACAAACUGGAGGAAGGCGGGGGCGACGUCAAGUCAUCAUGGCCCUUACGACCAGGGCUACACACGUGCUACAAUGGUAGGUACAGAGGGCAGCUACACAGCGAUGUGAUGCGAAUCUCAAAAAGCCUAUCGUAGUCCAGAUUGGAGUCUGCAACUCGACUCCAUGAAGUAGGAAUCGCUAGUAAUC
rnacentral:rRNA from 1 species